GAUGAAGAACGUAGCGAAAUGCGAUAAGUAAUGUGAAUUGCAGAAUUCAGUGAAUCAUCGAAUCUUUGAACGCAUCUUGCGCUCCUUGGUAUUCUGAGGAGCAUGCCUGUUUGAGUGUCAUUAAAUUCUCAACUACACUGACUUUGAAUUGGUGUGGCUUGGAUUUGGGGGGAAAAUUGUUGUGGGCUUUUUGUAUAGUCUGCUCCCCUGAAAUUGAUUAGCGGUACCUUUGUGGAACUGUCUACAGGUGUGAUAAUUAUCUACAUCUUAGACAUCUGCUGGAAUGCUGCUCUCUAAACCUUACUUGUAUUGACAAUCUUGACCUCAAAUCAGGUAGGACUACCCGCUGAACUUAAGCAUAUCAAAAGCGGAGGA
rnacentral:misc_RNA from 1 species